rnacentral:rRNA from 1 species
UCGAGAAUCUUCCACAAUGGACGAAAGUCUGAUGGAGCGACGCCGCGUGAGUGAUGAAGGCCCUACGGGUUGUAAAACUCUGUCAGGAGAGAAGAAUCGCCGGGGUGCCAAUACCACCCUGGUCUGACGUUAUCUCCAGAGGAAGCUCCGGCUAACUCCGUGCCAGCAGCCGCGGUAAUACGGGGGGAGCAAGCGUUGUCCGGAAUUAUUGGGCGUAAAGGGCGUGUAGGCGGCCUGGUCAGUCGAAUGUGAAAUCCCACGGCUCAACCGUGGAACUGCGUUCGAUACUGCCUGGCUUGAGUAUGUGAGAGGUGUGCGGAAUUCCUGGUGUAGCGGUGGAAUGCGUAGAUAUCAGGAAGAACACCGAUGGCGAAGGCAGCACACUGGCGCAAUACUGACGCUGAGGCGCGAAAGCGUGGGGAGCAAACAG